AACGAACGCUGGCGGCAUGCCUAACACAUGCAAGUCGAACGAGACCUUCGGGUCUAGUGGCGCACGGGUGCGUAACGCGUGGGAACCUGCCCUUAGGUUCGGAAUAACUCCCCGAAAGGGGUGCUAAUACCGGAUAAUGUCUUCGGACCAAAGAUUUAUCGCCUUUGGAUGGGCCCGCGUUGGAUUAGCUAGUUGGUAGGGUAAAAGCCUACCAAGGCGACGAUCCAUAGCUGGUCUGAGAGGAUGAUCAGCCACACUGGGACUGAGACACGGCCCAGACUCCUACGGGAGGAAGCAGUGGGGAAUAUUGGACAAUGGGCGAAAGCCUGAUCCAGCAAUGCCGCGUGAGUGAUGAAGGCCUUAGGGUUGUAAAGCUCUUUUAACCGGGAUGAUAAUGACAGUACCGGGAGAAUAAGCGCCGGCUAACUCCGUG
rnacentral:rRNA from 1 species